GAUGAACGCUGACAGAAUGCUUAACACAUCAGCAAUUGAUUGGUGGCGGACGGGUGAGUAACGCGUACAGAACUUGCCUCACAGCUAGGGACAACAUUUAGAAAUGAAUGCUAAUUCCUGCUAUUGUGAGAGAGCUUUGCUUCCCAUUAGCUAGUUGGAGAGGUAACAGCUCACCAAGGCGAUGAUGGGUAGCCGGCCUGAGAGGGUGAACGGCAACAAGGGGACUGAGACACGGCAGUUACUCAUACGGGAGGCAGCAGUGAGGAAUAUUGGACAAUGGACGGGAGUCUGAUCCAGCAAUUCUGUGUGCACGAUGAAGUUUUCGGAAUGAAAAGUGCUUUCAGUUGGGAAGCGGUACCAACAGAAGAAGUGACGGCUAAAUACGUGCCAGAGCCGCGGUAAUUC
rnacentral:rRNA from 1 species